rnacentral:misc_RNA from 1 species
AUCGAAAUACCAAUGCAAACUUAUGAACAAUUAAAAUAUUCUUAAUUUUUUAUGUUAUGUAAAAUAUUAAAAUAAAAAUUAAUGUCACUUAAUUAUUAAUUUUAAUUAUUUGUAAUUAUUAAUAGAAAUUUUUCAACAAUAAUUUUAUUCUAAUUUGACAAGUAAAUUAACAUAAAGCUUCUAUCACCAUCACUGAUGAUAUGUUGGAAUUAUUGCAACGGAAACUAAAAUACACAUUAUCAGGAGAAAUUGUUAGAAAUAUUUCUUGUGCCUUUCCUUUAUUUUCUUUUUCUUACAAACACUACUUUAAAUUAAUGAAUUGUUUUAAAUGAGAUUAUUGUUGAUACAUUUUACCAAUAUCUCUUGUAAUUAUUUUUUGCAA